rnacentral:misc_RNA from 1 species
CCCGGUGCAAAUUCGUUGGGUCCCUGCUGAUUUGAGCCUCUUGCCUGGUGCUCCACUGCAGCCGGUUGGAGGUGACGAUCAGGACAAAUCUGAUACCCCCCCUUCACGGAGAAGAUGUGAUGACAACCUUGCACGUACUCAACAUGAUGCAAUCAAUGACGUUCCUGGCAACAAGACCCACACUCAACGGCGGCCGGUUCAUGACCGAUUGGGACCCUUGAGGCCCUCGGAUUCCCCCAGGGAAUUGAGCCAUCCUCGGGUUCUGAUUGAUACUGAGGCCCGCAGCAGCCAGCCUUGUAUUUUGUUUGAUGCAAUGGCGGACAGCUGCGUAGGGAAUCCUCCGACUCCUGUGCCGGUCGGGGUUCAAUGUAUGGUGGCGGGGGAUGUGCUGCUGCGGCGCGAGGAGGGUUGCGAAGAUGCUGAAGUAAUUCCCAUGACCCCGAUGGCCGUUUCCAGCCCUUGUCCUUCCUCCGGAGUGAGACACAGACUGAUGUUGAAGACCGCUACAAAACAAGCAAAGUUCAGGAACCCGCCCAUUGCGUUCUUCAGACGGCGGCAGCGCGCUCCGAGGACCCCUGAGGGCGCCACACUUCCCCCUUGCUCCUCUGGUG